rnacentral:rRNA from 1 species
UACGUAGGGUGCAGGCGUUAAUCGGAAUUACUGGGCGUAAAGCGUGCGCAGGCGGUUCGUUAAGUUCGAUGUGAAAGCCCCGGGCUCAACCUGGGAACUGCAUUGGAAACUGGCGAGCUUGAGUAUGGCAGAGGGGGGUGGAAUUCCGCGUGUAGCAGUGAAAUGCGUAGAGAUGCGGAGGAACACCGAUGGCGAAGGCAGCCCCCUGGGCUGACACUGACGCUCAGGCACGAAAGCGUGGGGAGCAAACAGG